rnacentral:snRNA from 1 species
AAACCAUCACCCUUUUGGUGAAGAGGCAGGGUGGUGUAAUUGUCUCUGAUAUGUCCUCCAUCGAAGGUCUAUAUUGAGCAGAUUCUUUUUGGUGUUGGGUGGUGGAACCGGAGCGUGCUCCAUCCACUCCAUGCAUUGACCUGGUAUUGCAGUGCUUCCAGGACUGGUGCAAAAAAA